rnacentral:lncRNA from 10 species
UGAAUAUUGGAAUUUCUGCCAGCAUACCUGAAUUUCAUUCUGGAUGUAAUAGCGGUGGAAAGCUCAGGUUUGUCAACAUUUCUGGGUAACGUAUUGAACCGUCCAUAGUGACACCUAAAGUCAAGGAUUGAUACUUUAAGGUAAUUGGAUGGUUAUUCUUAGCGAUGAAAGAAACAACCUCAGUGUAGGUGUCCUUACGUUUACCUCUUGGUGUUCAGGCCUCUGUCAGUUCGUUCUCACGCUGCUAUAAAGAACUGCCCGAGACUGGGUAAUAUGUAAAGGAAAGAGGUUUAAUGGACUCACAGUUCCACAUGACUCGGGGGACCUCAGGAAACUUACAAUCAUGGCGGAAGGGGAAGUGAGCAUGAGCAAAACUGCCACUUUUAAAACCAUCAGCUCUCGUUAGACGCCCUCACUGUCACGAGAACAGCGUGGGGGAGCCGCCCCCGUGAUCCAAUCACUUCUCCACACGUGGGGAUUACAAUUCAAGAUGGAAUUUGGGUGGAGACGCAAAGUCAAGGCCUGUGUCCAGCAUGGCAGCAUUCAAGUCCACGGGCGUACACAUGGGCAUGUAUCAGUGUGUUUGCAUGGAUUCAAAUAUUGGACUUAAUAAUCUCUGCCCAAGUGUGAACUAGUUUGGCCCUUUUAAAACAUCAUCACAGGCUGGACGUGGUGGCUCACAUUUAUGAUACCAGCACUUUGGGAGGCUGAGGCCAGUAGAUUGCUUGAGCCCUGGAGUUCGAGACCAGCCUGGGCAAUAUGGCAAAAUCCAUCUCUGCAGAAAAUACAAAAAUUAGCUGGGCAUGGUGGUCCACACCUGUAGUCAGGAGGCUGAGGUGGGAGGGUCAAUUGAGCCCAGGAAGUUGAGCCCACUAUGAGCUAGGAUCGUGCCCUGCACUCCAGCCUUGGGUGGCAGACAGAGACCCUGUCUCAAAAAACAAGAAAAACAGUCAUCAUAGCUAGCUUCCCUUUUCUUGAGUUUUACUGUUUUGUUAGAUUUGUUUAUGGUGUAGUUUCUAAGCAUGUCAUUAAAUGCCAGUAGAGUAGUUACUUCAUUUUGAAGGCCCCUCAUGUCUCUGCUGACAGUCUGGGCCUGUAGCUUUCUCUGAUUGUUCCUGAUUUCACAGAUUUCACCAUUACGGAGGGAGGGUCUUCAUAUGCUUUG